GACGAACGCUGGCGGCGUGCCUAAUACAUGCAAGUCGAGCGGGCCUCCGGAGGUGCUUGCACCUCCGGACGGCCAGCGGCGGACGGGUGAGUAACACGUGGGCAACCUGCCUUCGAGGCCGGGAUAACACCGGGAAACCGGUGCUAAUACCGGAUACGUCCUCUUUCGCGCCUGCGAGAGGGGGGAAAGACGGUCUUUAAGGCCGUCGCUCAAAGAGGGGCCCGCGGCGCAUCAGCUGGUUGGUGGGGCAAGGGCCUACCAAGGCGACGAUGCGUUGCCGACCUGAGAGGGUGAUCGGCCACACUGGGACUGAGACACGGCCCAGACUCCUGCGGGAGGCAGCAGUAGGGAAUCAUCCGCAAUGGGCGAAAGCCUGACGGUGCAACGCCGCGUGAGUGAGGAAGGUUUUCGGAUCGUAAAGCUCUGUUGUGAGGGAAGAACAGCAUCCGGAGGAAAUGCCGGAGGUUUGCCGGUACCUCACCAGAAAGCCCCGGCUAAUUACGUGCCAGCCGCCGCCGUAAGAC
rnacentral:rRNA from 1 species